UACGGGGGGGGCAAGCGUUGUUCGGAAUUACUGGGCGUAAAGGGCUCGUAGGUGGCCAACUAAGUCAGACGUGAAAUCCCUCAGCUUAACCGGGGAACUGCGUCUGAUACUGGAUGGCUUGAGUUUGGGAGAGGGACGCGGAAUUCCAGGUGUAGCGGUGAAAUGCGUAGAUAUCUGGAGGAACACCGGUGGCGAAGGCGGCAUCCUGGACCGACACUGACACUGAGGAGCGAAAGCCAGGGGAGCAAACGGG
rnacentral:rRNA from 1 species